rnacentral:rRNA from 1 species
CAGAAACUUAAAGGAAGUUGACGGGGCCCGCACAAGCGGUGGAGUAUGUGGUUUAAUUCGAUGCAACGCGAAGAACCUUACCUGGUCUUGACAUCCCGGAGACCCUUAGGAAACUAGGGGUGCUUCCAUCUGGAAGAAUCUGGAGACAGGUGCUGCAUGGCUGUCGUCAGCUCGUGUCGUGAGAUGUUGGGUUAAGUCCCGCAACGAGCGCAACCCUUGCCUUUAGUUGCCAGCAGUUCGGCUGGGCACUCUAAAGGGACUGCCGGUGUUAAACCGGAGGAAGGUGGGGAUGACGUCAAGUCCUCAUGGCCUUUAUGACCAGGGCUACACACGUACUACAAUGGCCGAUACAAAGGGCAGCGACACUGCGAGGUGAAGCCAAUCCCGUAAAAUCGGUCUCAGUCCGGAUUGGAGUCUGCAACUCGACUCCAUGAAGUUGGAAUCGCUAGUAAUCGUGGAUCAGCAUGCCACGGUGAAUACGUUCCCGGGCCUU